rnacentral:rRNA from 1 species
UACGAAGGGGGCUAGCGUUGCUCGGAAUCACUGGGCGUAAAGGGUGCGUAGGCGGGUCUUUUAAGUCAGGGGUGAAAUCCUGGAGCUCAACGUCCAGAACUGCCUUUGAUACUGAGGAUCUUGAGUUCGGGAGAGGUGAGUGGAACUGCGAGUGUAGAGGUGAAAUUCGUAGAUAUUCGCAAGAACACCAGUGGCGAAGGCGGCUCACUGGCCCGAUACUGACGCUGAGGCACGAAAGCGUGGGGGAGCAAACAGG